rnacentral:lncRNA from 1 species
AAGAUUUGUUUUAACAGAUUAAUAUAAUAAAUAGACUUUGAGGUAGCUUUCAGAUGAAGGCAGAAUAUAUAGCAAAUUUAUCUCAGAUAUAAAAUUGCACCUUUCAUAUAUGUUGAAACUACCAUGAGUUUACUUAAUAAUCUGAGAGGUUUUGAACAGCUCAUUAAAAUUUCUCUCCUCCAUCUAUUUGAUUCAUUAUCUCAGAUAUGUCUCCAGCACUGACUACUUGGACUCCAUAUUACUUUGCACUUCUAAGCUACUGUGAUUCCAAUUCUACAGGAACAAGACUGAGACGCCUGCACAAAAAUAACGUGUGAGAUCUGCUAUGUAUCUCCAUCUAUGUAGAGGUAGAAAGUGAUACAGGUCCAGCAGAAGAAGACUGUGAGUGCUGGUGAUCACUCAUUCGUAUGGAAGUGCUGUUGGCAGCUCUGCAGAAGAGGCAGCCUAGUUUUGGAGAUUUUUUCCUCCUUUACCUGGGAUUUAGUGUUUUGAAUCAAAUCAGACUGCGCUACUUCUAUCAAUAUGCAUGCUGUACACUGAUCUUCAACGCAAAGACAAACACUUUCCAAGUGACCAGCUCACGCUGGAGCCACAGCCACCACUUCAGAGAGCAGAGGGAACAUGGAGUUAAACACCUGCUAAUUUAACUGGCUUCAGGAAGCUGAAGAAAAGACAGAGCAGAUAUAUGUAUUCAUCUACACAGCGCAGAGAAGUUUGAAGGCAAAGGCUGGACAACUGUGUGCCAUGGGAUGAAGGAAUAAUGAAACCUCAAGGCAGCUUUUUUUGAAGACUGUGGAGGCUUCCUAGAAUAAAAAGUGAUAUUAUUGCUUCA